GACGAACGCUGGCGGCGUGCUUAACACAUGCAAGUCGAACGGAAAGGCCCUUCGGGGUUCUCGAGUGGCGAACGGGUGAGUAACACGUGGGUGAUCUGCCCUGCACUUUGGGAUAAGCCUGGGAAACUGGGUCUAAUACCGAAUAGGACCACGCGCUUCAUGGUGUGUGGUGGAAAGCUUUUGCGGUGUGGGAUGGGCCCGCGGCCGAUCAGCUUGUUGGUGGGGUAAUGGCCUACCAAGGCGACGACGGGUAGCCGGCCUGGGAGGGUGACCGGCCACACUGGGACUGAGAUACGGCCCAGACUCCUACGGGAGGCAGCAGUGGGGAAUAUUGCACAAUGGGCGCAAGCCUGAUGCAGCGACGCCGCGUGAGGGAUGACGGCCUUCGGGUUGUAAACCUCUUUCACCAGGGACGAAGCGUAAGUGACGGUACCUGGAGAAGAAGCACCGGCCAACUACGUG
rnacentral:rRNA from 1 species